GGAUGUGAGGGCGAUCUGACUGCAACAUCUGUCACCCCAAUGAUCACCAAGGUUGACUCAGUGAUCUUCUGGCUUAGAGGGUGUAACCUGCCUCCCUCACCACUCUGUGUGUGUCCCUCCUGAAGCUGCAUGCUCUGUGGAAGAGGACAGCCUUCCCAAAAUAGAGGAGGACUGGUCUUCAGUCAAGGGUAUAUGAGUAGCUGUGUUCCCCUGCCAGAACCUCAAAACAAAAUGGUCUACAUUGUGAUUAUCACUGUGUUAGCUGAAUCAUAUGAACCAAAUGGCAGUGCAUCCUGCACAGCAGCCUAGACUU
rnacentral:snRNA from 1 species